rnacentral:rRNA from 1 species
AGCGAACGCUGGCGGCAGGCCUAACACAUGCAAGUCGAACGAACUCUUCGGAGUUAGUGGCGGACGGGUGAGUAACACGUGGGAACGUGCCUUUUGGUUCGGAAUAACUCAGGGAAACUUGUGCUAAUACCGAAUGUGCCCUUCGGGGGAAAGAUUUAUCGCCCUUAGAGCGGCCCGCGUCUGAUUAGCUAGUUGGUGAGGUAACGGCUCACCAAGGCGACGAUCAGUAGCUGGUCUGAGAGGAUGACCAGCCACACUGGGACUGAGACACGGCCCAGACUCCUACGGGAAGCAGCAGUGGGGAAUCUUGCGCAAUGGGCGAAAGCCUGACGCAGCCAUGCCGCGUGAAUGAUGAAGGUCUUAGGAUUGUAAAAUUCUUUCGCCGGGGACGAUAAUGACGGUACCCGGAGAAGAAGCCCCGGCUAACUUCGUG